rnacentral:lncRNA from 1 species
UCACAGAGCUAUUAUUUAAAAAAAAUGAUAAUUAAUACAUAAACUUAAAUUUAUAAAAAUAAUCCAUAAAUCCAUAAAAUUUAAACUUUAAUUAUGAUAACUAUAAAAACUCACACUUUAAUUAAAAAAAACUCCACAGCAAUCCAUGUAGGUGGUUUUACUAGUAUUUAAUUUAAUUCAUUAAAUAUGUUAAAAUUGUUGGUUAAAAAAUUAUUUUGCGGCGGAAAUAUUAAUUUAGGCUCUCAAGUCACGAUCCAUCACCACCAAUCUUAUUAGAUCACGAUUUGCCACUAAUGAUCUUAUUGGAUCAUCUAUCACCACCGAUUUUCUAGGUUAUGACUCAAAUUCGAUAUACACUUAACGUGCAGAUGCCUUUAUGAAUACUAAAUAUAACUAGAAGUAGAAAAUUUUUUCUCUCAAAAUAGGAGAGAAAAAUUUCUUUCUACAUUCUGUAUAUUGUGGCUCCUCUCUUCUUUUGUAACAGAAAAAGCCAUUUUUAUAUCUACUAGUAGAAACUCUAAGCUCCUUCUUUAUCUCUUUUUAAUUCUAUUAAAUAAAAAAUAUUCGAUUUAAAUUAAAAUAUAAAAUUAAAGCCAAAAGUGGUGUUAUAAUUAUCCUUGUUAUAGAGGCUCACUUUAUAAAAUAACACAAGACCCUUUAUACACAAGUAUAUUAAAUGGAGCCUCCCACCAAAUAUUAUAUUUAGGGUUUUAAUUCAAAUUACUAUUUAUCUUGCUUAUCAACCUAGUAGUGGUGCAAUCAAUUAAAUGAGCUAGCUUGAGGAUCAUAUGGGUGCAUACAAAUAGUGGCUACAAUAAUAAGACAUGUAAUUAAACUAAUCCAAUUAUUUAAUUUCAAAUCUACUCCACUAGGAUAAUGGAACUGACCUCCAUAUUUUAUACUAUCAAGAUAGUGUUAUCAAAUAAUAGUUUGAACAUGCCACAUUGAUUUCUUUACUCAACAAUCUUUUGUACCAUAUCGAUACUUAAAUUGAUAUCUCAACUGUCAAAUCAAUUUAAUUACAUCUUGUUCCUUGACACUUAUAGAUUUUCUCUAAUGAUCAUUUUUAACAUACUAAUUAUGUUGACACGCUCUAACCCGAGAAUUCUAUAAUCAAGUAUUAAAAUCCUAUCAAGAGAUGUAUUGUACAAAUUUUAUAUUGCUAAUAUAUAAUCUCAAUGCUCAUAAUUGCUUCCACUAAGAUACCGGGUUGACUACAAAUGUAUGUUGCAUUCAUUGGUAAGUCAAAUGAAAUGACAAUCGCAAACAUGAAACUAUAACUUACUCAAGAUUGAGAUUGCAAUAAAAUCAAUGCCUAUGAAAUUUAAUAAGUCUUAUAGUUAUUUUAAGGUCAAUUAAAUAUCAUAUGUGAUCUAGUUCAAUGUAGUCAAAUUAUAUCAGUAAAUUCGUAAAUAAUUAAGACAAAUCAUUCAAUGAAUUUACUACAGUCUGAACAUAAAUAGAGCACCCAACUCCAACAACUAUGAACUCAAUUUAUUUAAUCAUAAGAUAAUUUGUAUUUAUAUCUUCUGUGGAUUCAUAUGAUUAUCACAUAAAUACAUAUAAUAUGAUUAAACUAACCUUAUUUCAAAUAUUUAUUCAAUUAAGAUAUCUGAUAAAUAUCUAAAAUAUUUUAGUAAUCAGAAAAUUUAUUUAUAAAUAAAGCAAAUGCUUUAAAGAGCACAUAAUCGCAACAAAAAUAACCUCUAUAAACUCAUUAAUCCAUAAACUUUUAGUUUUUAUAUCUUACCGUUAUGUAAUUUAGCCCCAAUAAAUUAUUUUUGAAUCUGCCGCUGUCCAUAAGGGUUUGCUAAUUGUAGGCUGAGUAAUCCUUUAUUCCUUGCAUAAUCAUCAAACUAUUUUAUCAUACGGAUUCUUUAUUCCUUUUCUUGGAAUUUGUGUUUUAUGGGCGAGGUGGAACAACUUUCUUGAUUAUGUGACUUGGAAAGGAAGAGCUUAAUUUCUUCAAUGGAGUUUCUAUCAUUUUCUUUGGCCUUGUGGAGGAGUUCUAAUGGUGUCAUCAUCCUCUUCCUAGUGUUGUUGUAGGGAAAAAAAAUAAUGUUAAAUAGAAUAGGACUAUUUGCACUCUUUCGAAAACCUCUUAAAACCCUUUUGAGUAUUUAUUUUAUUCUUUAUAUUACAUUAGAGGACAAAGAAAUGUCGAAUUAAACCCAUAUGCAAAACACAAACUCUUUUCUUUAUCAAUGAUUUUUUUUUUUUGGUUAUACAAGACUUCUAAAUCUGUGACAACAAUAUUCAAAAGUAAGGACCCAGGAAAAAUUAAAUUAAAAAUGUGUGUAACUUUAACAACAGAUGAUGAGGAAAAUAUACAAAAAUAUGAAUCCACGAAUACAUGCAAAGAAGCUUUUUAUUUUACCCUCUUUUUUAAUUUUUAGGUCAGCAACAAAGCACUCUAGAGAAUUCUUCAUUGUUGGGAAUUGGUAGUUCAAUAGAGAGAGAUGAAAACGAUCAUAAGAGAGAACGAGGAGACAAGGGGGGAAAAAAAAAUUCUUACAACAGAGAAAUAAAAAAAUCCUAGAUAUGGGGCUUGAAGUUUGAACAACAAAAACGAAAAUUGAAAAAAUGGGGGUUUUGUCGGAAAUAAAUUUUUAUGAUGGCUACUUUUGUCGGUCUGUCGUUAGAAAUUAAUAUUAUUUUUAAAUAUUUUAAUGGGGGUUUUUGUCGAAAAUUGAAAAAAUGGGGGCUUUGUCGGAAAUAAAUUAUUUUCUCUUCAAAAUGAGAAAAGGAAUUUUCAAAGGUCAUUAGAGGGGUGCAAAUGUGCAGUCGCCCAACUGUAUUAAAUAAUAUUUUUCUUGAUCUUUUUUUUUUUAAUACAUAUUUUUCUUGAUCUUGAACUAGAAAAAGAACAUAUGUUUGAUUUUUUUCAGGCCCAUUUCAUUUACGAUCCAACAUGCUGAUGUAACACAUUACGUUAUCCACCAUUCCUUGACUAGAUCUAUUGUAGAAUUUUCCUUUAAAAAAAGGAAAAAGAAAAUAAAGAGCCAGUAAUUACUUUUAAUUUGAUUGAUUGAAUGGGUAGUCAAAAUUCACUUUGUAAGCAAUUUAUGUUGUCCGGUCGCCGUCCAACCACCACUCAAAUUUUGUGGGCAGCUGAAAAAUGUGCGAACACAACUCAUAUCGAAAGUCCAACGUUGUCAUGUCCCUCUUCACAAAACCCCAUAAACACAAACGCACGAUUGAACUAACACCGCUGUCAUUUGUUAUUAGCCAAUCAGAUGCCAAAAUAAAUUAAUAUUAAAUAAUUGGUAAAAGAAGGUGACUGAACAACAGUCAAAUUAUUGAAUUCAUGGUCCGCGCCGUAAUAAUACUAGGGAUGUUGGAGCCUACUUUUAAUUAUUAUUAUUUUUUAAUUCGGGACUCAUUCGCGACUGUGGUUUUUGCUUAGAUUUUUUCAGUACCAAAAAUCCUUUUAAUAUAUGAACUCGUUGAAGAGUACUGCAGGCUGCAGCAGCCAUUUACUUUGCAUAAAUUGAAGUCAAGAUUCAAUGCUCAAGAAAAAAAAGGAAAGUAGUUUUGUUGAACCAAUAAAAAGUGGUGUCUUGUAUUUGAUUUUGUUCAAUGGGCAACGUGGAGUGAUAAACCAAUGAAUGGACUUUUUAUAAUGGCCUAUUUGCACAUGUGCUUUCUCGACGAACUAAAGAUAUGUUAUUAAAUAUUUAUUUAUUGAGACAAAGAGAUAGCACAAAGUUUAUCCAUUUUGCUUGGCUGUCAGAGGAUAUGUUAAAAUAAUAUCAUUUGAUUAAGGUACCAUAUGCGGUUGAUGCAUAACAUGCAAGUUUGCUUGUGAUAUAAGUGUUUGAAGAUAUAUUUAGCUAUAAUAAUUUCCUUUUUUUUUUUACACAUAUUCAUUUUUAUUAUCUAUUUAUAUGUGAUCAAAAUUUACCCUCAACUUUCAUUUAAUUUUAAUCAGAGAUUCAAAACAGCUCAAAUCUAAGAGAAUUUUUCAACUUUCUUCGUAGCCAGGGGUGAAGCUAUGAAGAAGG